rnacentral:rRNA from 1 species
GUUGUAUGGUUAAGUGACUAAGCGUACACGGUGGAUGCCUUGGCAGUCAGAGGCGAUGAAAGGCGUAAUAACUUGCGAUAAGCCCAGAUUAGGUAGUAAUAACCUUUUGAGUCUGGGAUUCCUGAAUGGGGAAACCCACUUACAUAAGUAAGUAUCCUGUUGUGAAUACAUAGCAACAGGAGGCAAACCGGGGGAACUGAAACAUCUAAG